rnacentral:rRNA from 1 species
UACGUAGGGGGCAAGCGUUGUCCGGAUUUAUUGGGCGUAAAGAGCUCGUAGGCGGCUUGUUGCGUCAGCUGUGAAAACCCGCAGCUCAACUGUGGGCUUGCAGCUGAUACGGGCAGGCUUGAGUUCGGUAGGGGAGACUGGAAUUCCUGGUGUAGCGGUGAAAUGCGCAGAGAUCCGGAGGAAGACCGGUGGCGAAGGCGGCCUGCUGGGCAGAUACUGACACUGAGGCGCGACAGCGUGGGGAGCAAACAGG